rnacentral:tRNA from 1 species
GGGCAGAUGGCGGAGCGGUCAAUCGCAUCGCGCUGUAGACGCGACGGCCUUGUGCCUACGGGGGUUCGAAUCCCUCUCUGCCCACCA